rnacentral:sRNA from 1 species
UCCUAGCCCCGAUUGCAGAGAAAAUCCUUUUUGCAGGCUCCGUCAGGCUCAGCCUGACCGCGGUGGCAGCAAAAAGAUUGUAACGGAAAGCGGGAAAAAGC